AUUGAACGCUGGCGGCAGGCCUAACACAUGCAAGUCGAACGAGUGGCGGACGGGUGAGUAAUGUCUGGGACACUGCCUGAUGGAGGGGGAUAACUACUGGAAACGGUAGCUAAUACCGCAUACCAUCGGAUGUGCCCAGAUGGGAUUAGCUAGUAUGUGGGGUAAAGGCUGACCUAGGCGACGAUCCCUAGCUGGUCUGAGAGGAUGACCAGCAACACGGGAACUGAGACACGGUCCAAACUCCUACGGGAGGCAGCAGUGGGGAAUAUUGCACAAUGGGCGCAAGCCUGAUGCAGCCAUGCCGCGUGUAUGAAGAAGGCCUUGGGUUUGUAAAGUACUUUCAGCGGGGAGGCGUUACCCGCAGAAGAAGCACCGGCUAACUCCGUGCCAGCAGCCGCGUAAUUC
rnacentral:rRNA from 1 species